UGCAUGUUUUGUCGGAAUAUCCUUUGAACUGCGGCCAUGCAUGGUAGCCGGGAUCACAUCUCGGCAUUGCCGGGCUCAUAUGAACCCAUCAAGCCCAGUCUGACAUUUGGGUUAUCAAUUUUGAUCCACAAAAUUAAGUCCCAAUAAGGAAAUCCUAAAGCUGUCGAGAUCCUCGGCAAUUUUCAUUUUCCGCCAAUUUGUACGGAAUUUAUUACGUUUGUCAAAGACCAGACUAUUUGCCGGGAAAGUCCAUCUCACGGAGCGCAUGCAGAGAGCUUGAUCGCAGGUUAGCGUGAAGCAUGCAAGUUGCAUGAAAAACCCGAAAAAACUAGCGUGAUGAUCUGGUUUACCGGCAGGGUCGUAUAGCUAGACCGACAUGGGGGGUGCAUAUUUAUAUAUUUGUGUUUUGCCCGGCGGAUUUCUUUUGAAAGCGAUUGAUUUUACGGUAUAUGAACAUAAAUUGAUAAAUAUACCCCCUCCCCCAAAUUAUCGCGUCUAGCUACGGCCCUGUUUACCGAGGUUUCAGUAUAAAUUGAUAUUGCAAUAUACCUAUAAGUUUAAU